UUACAGCAAAAUACUGAAGACUGUACUAACAAAGUAAAAGAGAUAGAAAAUAAUGAUGUAUUAAAUUUAAUUUAUAAGAAGGUCAAGAAUGAAAUGUAUAACAGAAAUGAGGCAACUUAUGAAAACGAAGAAGAUAGUUUUUUAAAAAAAGUGACAUUUGGAGAUGGAGUAACAGGUGAUGAAAAUGUUACGAGUAUAUUUAACACAAACAAUAAUAAUAAUAAUAAUAAUAAUAGCAUGAAUCUGAAUAAUUUUGGAAUAAACGAAAAUAGAAAUGACUAUAUAAUUAAUAAUAAUAGUAAUAACGGCAUUAUCAACCACAAUAACACCUAUCAUAACAAAUACAAUAUUAAUAAUGCGCUUUUAGAGUAUUAUUUAAAGCACUAUAACGGAUUAAGCAGAAAUAGUAACAAAGAGCAAGACAAUUUGGAUUUAGAACAAUUAAAGUUUUCUACAAACUCCAAUAGGAAUAGUAAAACUGGUGAUUAUAACUAUAAACAUUAUUUAACUACUUCUGCCAGUAAUAAUGGGAAUAUUAAUAAGUACAAUACACAUAUUUUUAGUAGUAGUAAUAAUAUUAAGAACGAUAUUGAUAACUAUGAUAAAAAUUAUGGUAUUAAUAAUAAGUUACACAACAAUAAUGUAAUUUCGCACCCAGUUAGUUUAGGAAUAAAUAAUGAAAAUGACAAUAAGACUAAUAUACUUGAACAAAUUAAAAAUGAAUCGAACAAAACAGAUGUGUUUAUAGGUAAUAACUUAGAACACAAAUAUAAAAAUGAAGGAUACAAUAAUUUUGAUUUCAAUAAAAUUAAUACAUAUGUCAAAAGUAAAACUUGUGUAAAUAACAACAGUAGAAACGACAUGAUGAUCGGUAAGUAUAAUCAAAAAGGUUUUUUUAAAAAUAAGGAUUUGAAUUGGGAAAAAAAAACGUUUUAUAUGAAUGGACUCGGACAAAAUGGAGAUAGUAUAGAGUUGGAAAAUGAAAUGAAUAAGGUAAAUGAAUAUUUUCACAACAAAACAAAAGACUCAGGGUACUUUUUAAAAAAUAAUAUGCUUUUAGAUAGUGAUAAUGAUAAUAGUACUUGUACUAAUACUACUAAUACUACUAAUAAUACUACUAUUAAUAACAAUAAUCAUAAUAAUCAUAACAAUAAUAAUGCUUGGUUUAAGUCUAGAACUAUAAAUGUGGUGAAUAGACCAAGAUACAAAAAAACAUUUAACAUGUUUGAAGAAGUUACAAAAGGUUAUCAAAAUAGCAAUGAUAUUAACGAUGACAAUACCACCUGUACUGGUACUGUUCCUACUACCAACAAUAGUAAUAAUACUACUAAAAAAUACGGUAACAAUAAUAAUAAUAAUAACAACAAUAAUAGUGGUAAUAGCUGUUUAAGCUUAAAAGAAAAAUAUAACAUGUCGAAAGCAAAAAAACUAGUAAAAAAAAAUACAGAAAUAAAUGAAUUACCACUAGAAGAAUUAAAAGCAUUAUUAACGAAAGGACAUGAACUGAACUUACAUAGAUUAUUA
rnacentral:lncRNA from 1 species